UGCUCUGCGAGGAAAUAUUAGGGCAUGCCUGUGUAUAGUGCAGCGUGGAGCAACCGCUGACAAGGGUUUCCCAGGGAUUACACAGAGCUUCUAUUCACCGAUUAAUCAUUAACCAAGCCCUCCAAGACACUGCUCUAUCCUUCUUUUCAUACACAAAACGGGCUUUAAUGGACACGGUCGCUUCUAGUUUUUUAAGGGGGGAUAUUUUAAUCGGAUUGCCAACAAAAAAAACCUAGGCGUCACCCAGGAAAGGAACAAGUUGAAUGGAAUUUGUUUUAUUUCCUGAUUCAAAACGACGACUGCUACCAGAAGCUUGGCGAUACAAAUCUAAGGUUUCCAAAAGCGGACGGAGGAGCACGCGCGGAGAGGUUUGGCGCUUAUUUCCCGUCAACAUGGAGUUGCAGGCGUGGAAAAGACCAGCCACAACUAUUAAUCAUUCUGGGCGGACAUGAACAUCACCCCACUCCCACACCAGCCUUUGUUUUCUCAAACUACAAGUUGAGCAGUAAACUUUUAAAGGCACGGGCUGGAGAAGAGCAUAUCUUUCAAUGCAUCUUCACAAUGCAAAUAUAAUGGCCGAGAGCACCGAACGCGUAAUAGAUAGUUUACGCGUAAUACAAUUUAGAUAGUUUACGCGGUGCUUGAUUGUGUUAUGGAGCAUGCUGUUUGGAUGUCAUUGUUUCGGUUGUACUUUCUUGUUCUUUUAUUUUAUUAGUGUGCUUUUUUUUAAUCGUGGUCCAUGUGUUUAUCCAGGAUCGUCAACAAAACAGGAAAGUUGGAGAAUGUUGGAGGCGCUGGAGAAUGUUUGGCGGACGUAACGCAGGACAGAAAGCAGACCCUAUACUCCCACGCAGCCUUUCGCCACCGCACCUGAACUUUUCCCUGACCCGGGGAGAGACAACCAAAGUGUGAAGUUUAAAAUCCAGAAGUCGUGGAAAAGAAGGCACAUAGUCUAUCAAGGACAUUUGUUUUACAGACAAUCGAUCUUAUUCCUAAGAACGUAUACACUACCUUAUAAGACCCAUAAGACCUGGACCCUAACUGUGGUUCAAUUUGUAGGCAAAUAUAAUUUGAACAUAUGGUUUUGAACGUUCAUAACACUGCUCCGUUCUUUGAAUAGAGGUAGAUAUGCAAUCGCAAAUGCAUAUUUGCUGACAACUAAAGGGAACUAAAGGCGCAAACCACUUGUCACCAUUCUUUCUUUGGAUGGCGGCCAGAGAGCGCUACAUAUCUCCCCACAAUGUUGACAUCCGGAGGUCUAACGAGUAGGCUUAGGUUACCGAUAAACUCCACUAAAGAUAAAUGCUACUCGAAGGUUUACAACCGCCAACAUCAAGGCUAAUGUGAAAUGCAACAGUUUAUCUAGUGCCCUUCUUGAUCACUGUUUAAUGGCAGAAGGAGAGUUUGAAUGCGUUUCAAUGUUUGAACUGUGAGUCGUUCAUGUGGAUUGUUUAACUAGUUUCAAUAAAGAGUCAAUAUUU